GACUACUUUUGUGGAAGGCAUCAUCAAGCAAUUUGUAAUCUGCAAAAGCAGAAAGCUAAGGAGUCUAUUCUUGUUAAGCAAUUUGCAAUUUGCGAAAACAGUUUGUUCGCACUUGAACUCUUCUGCUUAUUUGAUAGCAUUGUGCUUCUAAUUUUUUUCCUACAAAAAAACA